rnacentral:sRNA from 1 species
CCUUUGCGUACUUGGCAUAAUCACUGCAACCAACGCUUUACAUACGAUGCCGUGAUCAAAGGCGACCACGGCACCUCCGGGAGACUACGUAUCUCUACGGAACCGGACAAAGGCGUCCUCGCUGGUAACAGCGGGUGCGCC